rnacentral:tRNA from 1 species
AGGGAAGUACUGAAGAGGCGCCCCUGCUAAGGGUGUAGGUCGCGUAAGCGGCGCGAGGGUUCAAAUCCCUCCUUCUCGCC